rnacentral:rRNA from 1 species
UACGUAGGGGGCAAGCGUUGUCCGGAAUUAUUGGGCGUAAAGGGUGCGUAGGCGGCGCGGUAAGUCGGGUGUGAAAUCUCGGAGCUUAACUCCGAAACUGCAUUCGAUACUGCCGUGCUUGAGGACUGGAGAGGAGACUGGAAUUUACGGUGUAGCGGUGAAAUGCGUAGAUAUCGUAAGGAAGACCAGUGGCGAAGGCGGGUCUCUGGACAGUUCCUGACGCUGAGGCACGAAGGUCAGGGGAGCAAACGGG